rnacentral:rRNA from 1 species
UACGUAGGCAGCAAGCGUUGUUCGGAGUUACUGGGCGUAAAGGGUGCGUAGGCGGCUUUUAAGUUUGGUGUGAAAUCUCCCGGCUCAACUGGGAGGGUGCGCCGAAAACUGGCUGGCUGGAGUGUGGGAGAGGCUAGCGGAAUUCCUGGUGUAGCGGUGAAAUGCGUAGAUAUCAGGAGGAACACCUGCGGUGUAGACGGCUGGCUGGACCACUACUGACGCUGAGGCACGAAAGCGUGGGGGAGCAAACAGGG